GUGCAGCAGUCGCGCAACCUCCGCAAUACGCGAAAGCGUGACGGGGCUACCCCGAGUGCCGUCCGCUGAGGAUGGCUUUUCUCCAGUGUAAUAAGCUGGAGGAAUAAGGAGAGGGCAAGUCUGGUGUCAGCCGCCGCGGUAAUACCAGCUCUCCGAGUGGUAGGGACGAUUAUUGGGCCUGAAGCGUCCGUAGCCGGCCAAGCAAGUUUCCCGUUAAAUCCAACGAUCUAAUCGCUGGACUGCGGGAAAUACUGUUUGGCUAGGGGGCGGGAGAGGCCAACGGUAUUUCCGGGGUAGGGGUGAAAUCUUAUAAUCCCGGGAGGACCACCAGUGGCGAAGGCUGUUGGCUAGAACGCGCUCGACGGUGAGGGACGAAAGCUGGGGGAGCGAACCGGAUUAGAUACCCGCGUAGUCC
rnacentral:rRNA from 1 species